rnacentral:rRNA from 1 species
GCUCAACCGUAAACUUUUAUUUACAACUGUAACGCCAGAGAACUACAAGCAAAGCUUAAAACUCAAAGGACUUGACGGUACCCCAUAUCCACCUAGAGGAGCCUGUUCUAUAAUCGAUAACCCCCGCUUUACCUUACCAUUUUUAGCUUAUCAACCUGUAUACCUCCGUCGUCAGCUUACCACGUGAGCGAAUCUCAGUAAGCUUAAUGCCCAUUACGCCAAUACGUCAGGUCAAGGUGCAGUAAACAAAAUGUGGAAGAAAUGGGCUACACUCUCUAAUUUAGAAUAUACAAAAAACUUUAUGAAACCAAGUUUGAAGGCGGAUUUAGUAGUAAAAAGGAAUCAAAGAGUUCUUUUUAAUAAGGCACUGGGGUGUGUACACACCGCCCGUCACCCUCUUCAAAGCCACUUAAUAGUAUUUAACCUUUAUAUGCACCCAAGAAGAGGUAAGUCGUAACAUGGUAAGUAUACCGGAAGGUGUGCUUGGAAAC